rnacentral:lncRNA from 1 species
CUCCCCCACCCCAUCCCGACUACCUUCUUCCUCACCCACGACCCACUCCCCCGACGCCGCCAACUACUACGAAGCUCCGACCACCACGACGCCCCGACCACACUAUCCUCCCAGGCGACGCGGCUCCAAUCCACGCCACCUUCUCCUCCGACAGCGCUCCGGUGAAGGAUCCAGGCGGGCCUGGUCAAAUCGUGCCGCCAUGCCCCCCGCAGGCGCCGGAUCUCGGGCACCCGCAUCGCCCCUCCCGCGCGCCUGCACCUCAUGACGAGGUAGGCCACCCCGACCUCGCCAUGGGCGGCAAAGCGCCCCUGAUGCCCACCUUUCUCUUCCCUCUGGUACCUCGCCCCGCUCCACCUUCAUCGCGCCGCAGGAGCACCCCCGCUCCAACUUCCUCCUCCCUCCGCCGCCUAGGACCCACCCUGCACCGGCAGUCACUUCCUGCCCGACGCCCCAGCACCCCAUCCUCUCAUCCCCACCCCCACCGAGCCGCUACGAUCCACGCCGAAGAGACCGGAUGCACAUCGCCUGCCUCCGGAUCCAAAUAAGGUGCUCCCACCCACUACGCCAUCGCCUCCCCCAAUAGCGGCAGUCACCCCCGCAGCUCACUCCUCCCCUACCUGUAGUUCAUGGUAGUCACCCCCCGCCACUCACUCCUCCCCUACCCGCAGUUCGCCAAAUCCCGCACCAGCUGGCUGCCGCAGCCCCACGCCACUAGAUAAUGUAAAGGGGUGCUCCGCUGGGCUUCUGCCGGUGAGGUUGUGGUAGGAGGUCCAUCCACAUCUGACGACCCUCCGGCGACGGAUCCAGGCGUCCCGAGGGAUCUCGAAUGGCCGCCUCCUCUAAUGACCUCUCCAUCGCCACGACGGCGAGAUCCACGCAUGGGCGCACGACUCAGGAAAACGGCGACUGCAGUCGGGCGAUUCUCAGGGCCUCCACCGCAGCCCUUCCUCUAUCCCCUACCUCCAUCUCCCCCUCCUUUGUUACAGGGCAUCACUGGAAGGGCGGGCGGGAGGCCAACCUCCUUCAAUCAUGGAGCUGAAGGUGAACGGCGGCAACAACGCCCCAUGCAGUCCAGAAAUUGCGUCUUUUGCUGCUUCUUUUUUUUUUGCCUUCGGAUGCAGUUCGCCAUGGCCUCGCAUGCCGUCCGGUGUCACGGCCGUUUCAGUGCUUGCAUGCGCCAUGGCCAUGCACAGAUGCAGUAUAGAAAAUGUUUGUUUCUUUUUGCAGUGCAGAUUGUAUGGACGUGCAGGGCAGCACAUGUACGAAGGAGAAAAAAAAGAAUGUCGUCAUUUUUUCUGAAGUUUGUUUUAUUGUUCGAGAAAACACAAACAUAAAUGCUCCAUCGAUGUUCCUUUAAAAGAAGUUCAUUUUGUUGUUUGAGAAAAUGCAAAGAGGAAAAGAGAGUAAAAAAUGGAUGUGGAUGAAUGCUUGUGUGUAAUGUGUAGCGUGCAAACAAAAAAUGUAGUCCACUCGCGUCCCCCCGCAGUGCAUAUUUCAUUAACCCAAAAAAUGUAUGCAAUGCACUAGGGGGAACUAAACUCUAGAGAAAAAAUAAAGAGGAAAC